rnacentral:rRNA from 1 species
AGAGUUUGAUCCUGGCUCAGAACGAACGCUGGCGGCGUGGAUAAGACAUGCAAGUCGAGCGAGAUUUUUUUCUGUAGCAAUACAGGGAAAAGUCUAGCGGCGAACGGGUGCUUAACACGUGGGCAACCUGCCGAGAAGUGGGGGAUAGCUCGCCGAAAGGCGAAUUAAUACCGCAUGUGAUCAGAGUGGACAUCCAUUCGAAAUCAAAGUCGGGGCAACCUGACGCUUCUUGAGGGGCCCGCGGCCUAUCAGCUAGUUGGUGAGGUAACGGCCCACCAAGGCUUAGACGGGUAGCUGGUCUGAGAGGACGACCAGCCACACUGGGACUGAGACACGGCCCAGACACCUACGGGUGGCAGCAGUCGAGAAUUUUUCUCAAUGGGGGAAACCCUGAAGGAGCGACGCCGCGUGGAGGAUGAAGGUCUUCGGAUUGUAAACUCCUGUCAUUGGGGAACAAUGCGCAAAUAUUAACUGUAUUUGCGUUGAUAGUACCCGAAGAGGAAGAGACGGCUAACUCUGUGCCAGCAGCCGCGGUAAUACAGAGGUCUCAAGCGUUGUUCGGAUUCAUUGGGCGUAAAGGGUGCGUAGGCGGCGCGGUAAGUCGGGUGUGAAAUCUCGGAGCUUAACUCCGAAACUGCAUUCGAUACUGCCGUGCUUGAGGACUGGAGAGGAGACUGGAAUUUACGGUGUAGCGGUGAAAUGCGUAGAUAUCGUAAGGAAGACCAGUGGCGAAGGCGGGUCUCUGGACAGUUCCUGACGCUGAGGCACGAAGGCCAGGGGAGCAAACGGGAUUAGAUACCCUAGUAGUCC